GGAGGCGCUCAAAGGUUCCCUCAGAAUGGUUGGAAAUCAUUCAUAGAGUGUAAAGGCAUAAGGGAGCUUGACUGCGAGACCUACAAGUCGAGCAGGGUCGAAAGACGGACUUAGUGAUCCGGUGGUUCCGCAUGGAAGGGCCAUCGCUCAACGGAUAAAAGCUACCCCGGGGAUAACAGGCUUAUCUCCCCCAAGAGUUCACAUCGACGGGGAGGUUUGGCACCUCGAUGUCGGCUCAUCGCAUCCUGGGGCUGUAGUCGGUCCCAAGGGUUGGGCUGUUCGCCCAUUAAAGCGGUACGCGAGCUGGGUUCAGAACGUCGUGAGACAGUUCGGUCCCUAUCCGUCGUGGGCGUAGGAAAUUUGAGAGGAGCUGUCCUUAGUACGAGAGGACCGGGAUGGACAUACCUCUGGUGUACCAGUUGUCGUGCCAACGGCAUAGCUGGGUAGCUAUGUGUGGACGGGAUAAGUGCUGAAAGCAUCUAAGCAUGAAGCCCCCCUCAAGAUGAGAUUUCCCAACUUCGGUUAUAAGAUCCCUCAAAGAUGAUGAGGUUAAUAGGUUCGAGGUGGAAGCAUGGUGACAUGUGGAGCUGACGAAUACUAAUCGAUCGAAGACUUAAUCAAAA
rnacentral:rRNA from 2 species